UCGGUGUGGACGUCUAAUGAGAGGGGAGUAAGCAAACAUGGCGACACAGGCCAGCCUUUGUCUGCUGAUGAUACUGGUCCUGGUGCUGCUGCUGGUGACCAUGUGGGCCAGCGAUAAUGAGACCGCAUGACUGAUUUUUUUGGGGGGUUCACGUGAGAACCCUGCGGGCUGGCUGGGAUUGUCAGGAUCCGAGGCCAUAAGCGGGAGGCGGAGAGAAGAGGGGAAGACACACGCGAGGGAGAAGGAAGCGGCUGGUGACAUUGCCCAUAGCAAAUAUAUCAAAAUAAAAGACUUGUUAAAUC